rnacentral:rRNA from 1 species
GAUGAACGCUGGCGGCGUGCCUAAUACUUGCAAGUCGAGCGAAAAGACGAGGAGCUUUCGCCUUUGACGGUAGCGGCUGACGGGUGAGUAACAAGUACGUAACCUACCUAUAAGACUGGGAUGACUUCGGGAGACCGGAGCCGAUAACGGCGAAUAUGUCGUACCGGUGGGAUCGGUAGAGAUAGGUAGCUUGGCCGAUAGUUUUAGCUGGUGUUGUGCCGUAUUAGCUAGUUGGUAAGGUAACGGCUUACCAAGGCAACGAUCCGUAGCUGACCUGAGAGGGUGAUCGGCCACACUGGAACUGAGACACGGUCCAGACUCCUACGGGAGGCAGCAGUGGGGAAUAUUCGACAAUGGGCGCAAGCCUGAUGCAGCAACGCCGCGUGAGUGAAGAAGGUCUUCGGGUUGUAAAGCUCUGUUAUUAGGAAAGAACAAACGUGUAAUAAACCCCGCACGUCCUGACGGUACCUAAUGAGUAAGCAACGGCUAACUUCGUG